rnacentral:misc_RNA from 1 species
AGGAUGCUGUAGGGAUGGCUUUUGAUAUUUCGAGUGGUCUUAAGGAUGCAGAGGCAUGGAGCUGCAAUCUGAUUGAUUGGAUGAACUUUUUUGUAUUUUUAAAUGCUUGGAAUCUUUAUUCUCAUGAAGUAGAUAGAGAUUCAAAUAAGCAUGGUACUACAUGGCUUGUGAAUUUGAUUCUGAAGAAGUGUAUCCUGGAUAAAGUGAGAUCAAUGGGAGCACCAGAGUCAUCACCCGGAUGUGAUCUUCCUCAUUUGGUGCUAUUGGUAACUGAACCUUUAGCUUGGCAUAUUAUGGUGAUUCAGUGUUGUGCCAGGUCAUUAUUGCCUUCAGGAAAGAGAAAAAAGAAAGGUGGACCUUCGGAGCAGUGUAACAUUGAGUUGUGUCAAGAAGUACAGGAUUCAAUCCGUUGUGUAUGUGAGACUAUAGAGCUGGUUAGAGAUUGGCUAAAUAAACAAAUGAGCAAGUCAGACAAUGACAAAUUGGAAAGUAUACUUUCAUCACUCAAAAGAGAUGGAGAGUUAGGACCCUGGAAGGUCUACCGCGUUAUU